GACGAACGCUGGCGGCGUGCUUAACACAUGCAAGUCGAGCGGAAAGGCCCUUCGGGGUACUCGAGCGGCGAACGGGUGAGUAACACGUGAGUAACCUGCCCUGGACUUUGGGAUAACCCUCGGAAACGGGGGCUAAUACCGGAUACGACCCACCUUCGCAUGGGGUGUGGGUGGAAAGUUUUUCGGUCUGGGAUGGGCUCGCGGCCUAUCAGCUUGUUGGUGGGGUGAUGGCCUACCAAGGCGACGACGGGUAGCCGGCCUGAGAGGGCGACCGGCCACACUGGGACUGAGACACGGCCCAGACUCCUACGGGAGGCAGCAGUGGGGAAUAUUGCACAAUGGGCGGAAGCCUGAUGCAGCGACGCCGCGUGAGGGAUGACGGCCUUCGGGUUGUAAACCUCUUUCAGCAGGGACGAAGCGCAAGUGACGGUACCUGCAGAAGAAGCGCCGGCCAACUACGUGCCAGCAGCCGCCGUAAAAC
rnacentral:rRNA from 1 species